UACGUAGAUGGCAAGCGUUAUCCGGAAUGACUGGGCGUAAAGGGUGCGUAGGCGGUUCUUUAAGUCAGAUGUGAAAAUCCAGUGCUUAACAUUGGAACUGCAUUUGAAACUGGAGAACUUGAGUGCAGGAGAGGAAAGUGGAAUUCCUAGUGUAGCGGUGAAAUGCGUAGAUAUUAGGAGGAACACCAGUGGCGAAGGCGACUUUCUGGACUGUAACUGACGCUGAGGCACGAAAGUGUGGGGAUCAAACAGG
rnacentral:rRNA from 1 species